rnacentral:piRNA from 1 species
UGUCCACCAGUGCACCUCAGGAGUAUCUCUA